rnacentral:snRNA from 1 species
AUCGAUUCUCGGCCUUUUGGCUAAGAUCAAGUGUAGUAUCUGUUCUUAUCAAAUAUUUUCUGGAAUCAGGAUCACAGAUACAGAGGGCUGAUUGUAUAUGCAUACAUAUGAGGAUGUAUGUGUAGACUUUUC